CCGGCUCCCGACCGCUCCCUGCCCUGCCGGCUCCCCGCAGCCCCUGCCCUGCCGGCUCCCUGCCCUGCCGGCUCCCUCGGCCGCCCGUCCCGCACACGUGCUGCCCCAGGGAAUGAAUACUGUGUACCCAGACAGCAAUAAACAUUUAGCUGCAGACCACUGA
rnacentral:lncRNA from 12 species